rnacentral:sRNA from 1 species
GAACCAGUCUCGCUGAGUCUCCGCAUGGAGAACGGGGGAACCGGCGCAAACAUGGAUCGGCUGAUGCCGGCCAGGUUUGCAAAUGAUUCCUUUUCAGGGUCUUAGGGGUGAAUUCGAGGUCGUUGCGCCAUGAGCGAACGAACUGAGAAAGGGCGGCUCUCUUUCGUCCGAACCCGACAGCUAACCUCGUAAGCGUACCAAGAGAGGUAAC